UGGAAUAAAGGUUUUGACAACAUAGCUUUAUUUUUUUGAAAGAAAUCUUGAGAAAUCGUUCAAAAGUUUAAGGAAAACAUGGAUCUGCAGAAGAACCUAAAAAACUAGGGUUUCAGAGGAACCCAAAUGGUAAGAAAGGAUUGGAUAGUCGCUAAUCUAAGCAGGGGAAUUCGAGGUCAAGCUCGAACAACCAUGGCUUGCCGAAGUAAGGCCGGAGAUGGCCGUAGAACUUGAAUCAAAUAAGGUUUUGGCCAAGCUUCUUCUCAGUCAGGCAUUGAAAGUUAGUAAUCAAGAGCGUAAGAGCCAUAGAAGGCUGGUUGGUGGUGAGACCACUAUGGAUUCAAGCAAGGAGGUGAUCGGAGAAGGCGAGUGAAGAUCAUCUGAACGGAGGGGAAGGGGGAAGGUUCUAAAGAGAACCAGAAAUAGAGAUAUAGAGACGAGUGUCGG
rnacentral:lncRNA from 1 species